AUGGUUACCAGGCUCCUUUGCUGGAUGAUUCUCUGCCUCCUGGGGGCAGGUCACACAGAUGUUGGGGUGUCUCAGUCCCCUAGGUAUAGAGUCACAGCGAGGGGACAGAAUGUAACACUCAGGUGUGAUCCAAUUUCUGGGUACAACUGCCUUUACUGGUACCAACAGACCUUGGGAAAAGGCCCAGAAUUUUCCCCUUAUUUCCAGAAUGAAUUUGUACCAGACAACUCUGGGCUGCUCAGUGAUUGCUUCUCUGCUGAGAGGCCUGAGGGCAUGUACACUACAUGA